rnacentral:rRNA from 8 species
UGACCUCGGAUCAGGUAGGGAUACCCGCUGAACUUAAGCAUAUCAAUAAGCG